UUAUCAACAUCAACAGGAGAGAUCACGGCAACAUGACACCAGUCAUUAUAACAGUUCAAGCUGGACACUCUGAUAUUUAUCACCUUCUUGUGUCAGAGGGAGCUGAUGUGUCACUUACUGAUGACAUGGGCAGAGACUGUCUGAUGUAUGCAUGUGAGGGAGGUAACAUGUCUAUAGUUAGACACCUACUAUCUUUG